UACGGAGGGGGCUAGCGUUGUUCGGAAUUACUGGGCGUAAAGCGCGCGUAGGCGGCUUUGUAAGUUAGAGGUGAAAGCCCAGGGCUCAACCCUGGAAUUGCCUUUAAGACUGCAUCGCUUGAACAUCGGAGAGGUAAGUGGAAUUCCGAGUGUAGAGGUGAAAUUCGUAGAUAUUCGGAAGAACACCAGUGGCGAAGGCGACUUACUGGACGAUUGUUGACGCUGAGGUGCGGAAAGCGUGGGGAGCAAACAGG
rnacentral:rRNA from 1 species